rnacentral:rRNA from 1 species
GUGUAGCUCAUAUUUUUUAAUUUUUAGUUUGGUUAAGUUAGAAAGGGCGCACGGUGGAUGCCUUGACACUAGGAGUCGAUGAAGGACGGGACUAACGCCGAUAUGCUUCGGGGAGCUGUAAGUAAGCUUUGAUCCGAAGAUUUCCGAAUGGGGAAACCCACCAUACGUAAUGGUAUGGUAUCCUUAUCUGAAUACAUAGGGUAAGGAAGACAGACCCAGGGAACUGAAACAUCUAAGUACCUGGAGGAAGAGAAAGCAAAUGCGAUUUCCUGAGUAGCGGCGAGCGAAACGGAACAUAGCCCAAACCAAGAGGCUUGCCUCUUGGGGUUGUAGGACAUUCUAUACGGAGUUACAAAGGAACGAGGUAGACGAAGCGACCUGGAAAGGUCCGUCGUAGAGGGUAACAACCCCGUAGUCGAAACUUCGUUCUCUCUUGAAUGUAUCCUGAGUACGGCGGAACACGUGAAAUUCCGUCGGAAUCUGGGAGGACCAUCUCCCAAGGCUAAAUACUCCCUAGUGAUCGAUAGUGAACCAGUACCGUGAGGGAAAGGUGAAAAGCACCCCGGAAGGGGAGUGAAAGAGAUCCUGAAACCGUGUGCCUACAAAUAGUCAGAGCCCGUUAACGGGUGAUGGCGUGCCUUUUGUAGAAUGAACCGGCGAGUUACGAUCCCGUGCGAGGUUAAGCUGAAGAGGCGGAGCCGCAGCGAAAGCGAGUCUGAAUAGGGCGUUUAGUACGUGGUCGUAGACCCGAAACCAGGUGAUCUACCCAUGUCCAGGGUGAAGUUCAGGUAACACUGAAUGGAGGCCCGAACCCACGCACGUUGAAAAGUGCGGGGAUGAGGUGUGGGUAGCGGAGAAAUUCCAAUCGAACCUGGAGAUAGCUGGUUCUCCCCGAAAUAGCUUUAGGGCUAGCCUUAAGUGUAAGAGUCUUGGAGGUAGAGCACUGAUUGGACUAGGGGUCCUCAUCGGAUUACCGAAUUCAGUCAAACUCCGAAUGCCAAUGACUUAUCCUUAGGAGUCAGACUGCGAGUGAUAAGAUCCGUAGUCAAAAGGGAAACAGCCCAGACCGCCAGCUAAGGUCCCAAAGUGUGUAUUAAGUGGAAAAGGAUGUGGAGUUGCUUAGACAACUAGGAUGUUGGCUUAGAAGCAGCCACCAUUUAAAGAGUGCGUAAUAGCUCACUAGUCGAGUGACUCUGCGCCGAAAAUGUACCGGGGCUAAAUACACCACCGAAGCUGCGGAUUGAUACCAAUGGUAUCAGUGGUAGGGGAGCGUUCUAAGGACAGUGAAGUCAGACCGGAAGGACUGGUGGAGUGCUUAGAAGUGAGAAUGCCGGUAUGAGUAGCGAAAGACGGGUGAGAAUCCCGUCCACCGAAUGCCUAAGGUUUCCUGAGGAAGGCUCGUCCGCUCAGGGUUAGUCAGGACCUAAGCCGAGGCCGACAGGCGUAGGCGAUGGACAACAGGUUGAUAUUCCUGUACCACCUCUUUAUCGUUUGAGCAAUGGAGGGACGCAGAAGGAUAGAAGAAGCGUGCGAUUGGUUGUGCACGUCCAAGCAGUUAGGCUGAUAAGUAGGCAAAUCCGCUUAUCGCGUAUGCUGAGCUGUGAUGGGGAAGCUCCUUAUGGAGCGAAGUCUUUGAUUCCCCGCUGCCAAGAAAAGCUUCUAGCGAGAUAAAAGGUGCCUGUACCGCAAACCGACACAGGUAGGCGAGGAGAGAAUCCUAAGGUGUGCGAGAGAACUCUGGUUAAGGAACUCGGCAAAAUGACCCCGUAACUUCGGGAGAAGGGGUGCUUUCUUAACGGAAAGCCGCAGUGAAUAGGCCCAAGCGACUGUUUAGCAAAAACACAGCUCUCUGCGAAGCCGUAAGGCGAAGUAUAGGGGGUGACACCUGCCCGGUGCUGGAAGGUUAAGGAGAGGGGUUAGCGUAAGCGAAGCUCUGAACUGAAGCCCCAGUAAACGGCGGCCGUAACUAUAACGGUCCUAAGGUAGCGAAAUUCCUUGUCGGGUAAGUUCCGACCCGCACGAAAGGUGUAACGAUUUGGGCACUGUCUCAACCAGAGACUCGGUGAAAUUAUAGUACCUGUGAAGAUGCAGGUUACCCGCGACAGGACGGAAAGACCCCGUGGAGCUUUACUGUAGCCUGAUAUUGAAUUUUGGUACAGUUUGUACAGGAUAGGCGGGAGCCAUUGAAACCGGAGCGCUAGCUUCGGUGGAGGCGCUGGUGGGAUACCGCCCUGACUGUAUUGAAAUUCUAACCUACGGGUCUUAUCGACCCGGGAGACAGUGUCAGGUGGGCAGUUUGACUGGGGCGGUCGCCUCCUAAAGUGUAACGGAGGCGCCCAAAGGUUCCCUCAGAAUGGUUGGAAAUCAUUCGUAGAGUGCAAAGGCAUAAGGGAGCUUGACUGCGAGACCUACAAGUCGAGCAGGGACGAAAGUCGGGCUUAGUGAUCCGGUGGUUCCGCAUGGAAGGGCCAUCGCUCAACGGAUAAAAGCUACCCCGGGGAUAACAGGCUUAUCUCCCCCAAGAGUCCACAUCGACGGGGAGGUUUGGCACCUCGAUGUCGGCUCAUCGCAUCCUGGGGCUGUAGUCGGUCCCAAGGGUUGGGCUGUUCGCCCAUUAAAGCGGUACGCGAGCUGGGUUCAGAACGUCGUGAGACAGUUCGGUCCCUAUCCGUCGUGGGCGUAGGAAAUUUGAGAGGAGCUGUCCUUAGUACGAGAGGACCGGGAUGGACGCACCGCUGGUGUACCAGUUGUUCUGCCAAGGGCAUAGCUGGGUAGCUAUGUGCGGAAGGGAUAAGUGCUGAAAGCAUCUAAGCAUGAAGCCCCCCUCAAGAUGAGAUUUCCCAUAGCGUAAGCUAGUAAGAUCCCUGAAAGAUGAUCAGGUUGAUAGGUUCGAGGUGGAAGCAUGGUGACAUGUGGAGCUGACGAAUACUAAUAGAUCGAGGACUUAACCAU